rnacentral:lncRNA from 1 species
GUGGGUGCGGGAGUGGCUGCAGAAAAUGGCCAGGGCUUAACAGGGAAGGGGUGGAGGUUAGGAACAGGACCUACGCACCUAUCUACUUAUUUUGAUAUUAAAUUAAUAAGUACAUUUGAAGUAUAUAACCAAGACCUCUGAUACUUUUGGUAACAAGACUCUAGCGUAUCUUCCCAACUAGAUUUUGUUGAAUUUUAUUUUGUUAUAUUUUUUAUUUUUUGAGGAAGAUUAGCCCUGAGCUAACUACUGCCAAUCCUCCUCUUUUUGCUGAGGAAGACUGGCCCUGAGCUAACAUCCAUGCCCAUCUUCCUCUACUUUAUACAUGGGACGCCUACCACAGCAUGGCUUUUGCCAGGAGGUGCCAUGUCUGCACCCAGGAUCCGAACCGGUGAACCCCGGGCUGCCGAGAAGUGGAACAUGUGAACCUAACCCCUGUGCCACCAGUGGCUGUACCGUUCUGUCCUGUCCCAGAAGCAGUGAGUGAAAGUUCCUGUUGCUUCACAUCAUGGCAGCAGUAAUGGGUACUUAGAAGUGAACUUGAUGAGGAAAAAGUACUUAGAAGCACUCCAGGACACUUGCAUUUCGAGGAAGAGAACUUGAGCUUGGGGAGGCAUCACAGAACUCCCCUUCGUUUAUGACAGCGUGCUUUGCCUUCCACGGAGGGGCAGAAG